rnacentral:rRNA from 1 species
GACGUAGGGCGCGAGCGUUGUCCGGAUUUAUUGGGCGUAAAGAGCUCGUAGGCGGCUUGUCGCGUCGAUUGUGAAAACCCGAGGCUUAACCUCGGGCCUGCAGUCGAUACGGGCAGACUAGAGUUCGGUAGGGGAGACUGGAAUUCCUGGUGUAGCGGUGAAAUGCGUAGAUAUCAGGAGGAACACCGGUGGCGAAGGCGCUCAUCUGGCCCAAUACUGACGCUGAGGCGCGAAAGCUAGGGGAGCAAACGGG